UACGGGGGGUGCAAGCGUUGUUCGGAAUCAUUGGGCGUAAAGGGCGUGUAGGCGGCUGGAUAAGUCAGAUGUGAAAGCCCUGGGCUUAACCCAGGAAGUGCAUUUGAUACUGUUCGGCUUGAGUAGGGGAGAGGAAAGUGGAAUUCCUGGUGUAGAGGUGAAAUUCGUAGAUAUCAGGAGGAACACCGGUGGCGAAGGCGACUUUCUGGCCCUAUACUGACGCUGAGACGCGAAAGCGUGGGGAG
rnacentral:rRNA from 1 species